rnacentral:rRNA from 1 species
UACGAAGGGGGCUAGCGUUGCUCGGAAUCACUGGGCGUAAAGGGCGCGUAGGCGGCGCCGCAAGUCGGCUCGUGAAAGCCCGGGGCUCAACCCCGGAGGUGCGGCCGGGACUGCGGUGCUGGAGGCCGGAAGAGGAGGGUGGAAUACCCAGUGUAGAGGUGAAAUUCGUAGAUAUUGGGUGGAACACCGGUGGCGAAAGCGGCUCUCUGGUCCGGACCUGACGCUGAGGCGCGAAAGCGUGGGGAGCAAACAGG